UACGAAGGGGGCUAGCGUUGUUCGGAAUCACUGGGCGUAAAGCGCACGUAGGCGGCUUUUUAAGUCAGGGGUGAAAUCCUGGAGCUCAACUCCAGAACUGCCUUUGAUACUGGGAAGCUUGAGUCCGGGAGAGGUGAGUGGAACUCCGAGUGUAGAGGUGAAAUUCGUAGAUAUUCGGAAGAACACCAGUGGCGAAGGCGGCUCACUGGCCCGGUACUGACGCUGAGGUGCGAAAGCGUGGGGAGCAAACAGG
rnacentral:rRNA from 1 species